AGCGCAGCUGGGCGCAGCUGGGCACGGAAGCGUGGGGCGGCGGCGAGUCCCAGCUCGUCGCGGUUCGCCCCCGGCGGGGGCCUCGGUUCCUGCCCCCACGGAAAUGCCGGCCGUGGCACCGCCCAUCUCUCGCUCGGUUUGCCGGCCUGUGCAAUGGGUCGAGGCCGUGCGCCACCGGACCCAGAAAAGGGCGUUUCUUCAGCACGCCCUGUCAAGCGCCUCCUGCGUGCAGGGAGCGCGAGUGGAGGGCGCCGGCCCGGGGCUAGAAAGCCAGCACUUGGUGGACACUUUGAACCGUACUCCUGGGCUGAGGCCCAUUCCCACUGGGCUAGCUUCUCGAGCCCUACCUCGUGCGGAGGUCAGGAGGACCCUGCGUACACCUACUGUGUGCCAGCUGCUGUUGAGCGUCCCGGGGAGGAGAAACGUCGAGCCCGAUCCCCAGGACCUCUUGUUCUCCCGAGGGAGAAGACAGUACACUGAGGAGAAUGACCCUAAGCGUCACUAUAAGAUUUGGGUCUCUCUGGCUCCACGCAAGGAAUGGACCCAGCGACCGUGCAGAGGCAGGACACCAGGGACAGGUGCUGAAAUAGCCCAGGGUCCCAGCCUUGACCUCCGCGAACCCAUUCGAUCAUCACAACAUCGCAGAAACAUGGGAACUGUUAUCACAUCUAUUCAUGGAUGGGGAAACUGAGGCCCAUCGAGGUGAAAUCACUCGCCUGGGAUCACACAGGAGGCAAAGCUGCAAAGGCAGGAUUUGACCCCAGGCAGUCAAGUCCAAGGCUCGUGCUUUUAACCACUCUACUGUCUCAUGAGGAGCUCACCACUGACGGUACACAGACCCUCUCAACCACCUGCUGAGGUGCGAACUAAGAUCAUGCUCCCUUAACAGCGGACAAACCUGAGGCUCAGAGAGGCAGCCGCUGACCCCAGGUCCCACAGCCAGGAGGAGGAAGAGCCAAGGUUCAAGUCAAGAUGUGUUUGGUUCCAGAACCAAGCUUGGCCUCACCGGGCCAGCGCUCCCCAGGUGAUUCUGAUAUGCGGCCAGGUGGAGAACCCCUGAGCGGGGCGGUGAGUUCUGGGAAGAGUGUGCUGGCUUUGGGGCCAGCCGACGCCUGCACCGCCUUGGGGCCUGCCUCCUCCUCAUCUCUGACACGGAGGGGGUAGCACUCCCUGCCCCGCCCCCCGGGUUUCAGGAGGGGGGAAUGAGCUGAGCAGCGUGCCCACCAGAGAGCAAGCUCUGGGGACACGUCCUGCAAAUCCCACAGGUACCAGCAGGGGCCACGCUGUUAGUCCCCGGACUGAGGGCCGGGGGCCACCCUGCUCCUUCUCCCAGCUCCCCGGGGGGGAGAGACAAGUCCCCGGCUUCCUAGCACAGAGCUUGAGAUGCGCUGCAGAAGACCCCUCGGGGACAGUCGGAGGCCACAGCGUGCGGGUGCAGAGCGGGGGUGCUGUGGCAAAGUCCUGCCCAGAAACCCGUCCCGCACAAACACACGUGUCGACAGGUAUGCGACACAACUGACCCCUGCCGUGCAGCUCACGACAGCGAAAGCCAGGAAACAAGCCUGAUAACGGUAACAGCUGAUGUGUGUUUACAGCAGGAUUUCUCAACUCAGAACUAUUGACACUGGGACCGGAUCACUCUUUGCAGCGGGAGUCUGACCCGCGCAUUGUAGACUGUUAGCAUCCCCGGGAUCGGUAGCACAGCCCCCCGUCCCGGUCGCCACGUGUCCCCUGGGGGGCAAAACCCCUCCCCUGGCUGUUGCUCUGUGCAGGGCCCUGGUGCACACACUUCAGGGGAGCCGCCUCCUCCUGCAGCCCCUCCCAGCCGGAGACGGUUCCACCGUGCAGAGCAGGCAGAACUAAAGAGGACCACUGGUGUCACCCUGGCAGUUUACCCAGCUCUGCAAGGGAUGCGUCAGAGCCGGGGGCCCACGUCUAUCAGAACGCAAGCCUGGUUCUCGCCCCUCGGCCCGCUACCCACAAGUCCACCUGGAUGUCAUUACCUGAUGCCUACUGUGUGCCAGCACUCCGCUGGGUGUGGGGGACCCAGGCAUGGCCGUCCCUGUCUCCUGGAACUCACGACACAGGGGGAAGGCAGAGGGUCAUCAGAUCAGUACACAAAUACAUCAUCACCAACGUGGGUCAGCGCUAAGAAGAAAAGAUGCCUGGUCCCAGACGUCAAGGAAUAGAAGAAGCCUGCGAGGGUAGACUCCGGAAUGUCGAAGGGGUCGUAAGAUUUCAGAUUUAAAAUUAGAAGAAUAAAGGAGACAAGAGAAAAGGUGACUGUUCUCUGUAAACAUGGUUUUGCUUCAUCCCCGCCAUUGCUGUCUAAGGCGUGUAUGUUUAUCAUGCCCAUUUGAUAGAUGAGAACACUGAGGUUCAACAGGUAAAGCCAGUGGCCCAAGGUCACAUGGCUGGAUCUGGGCGAGCCUGGUCUAACCCCGAAGUCUGUUUUUAAACCAGGGUGCUCAGAUGCCCUUCAAAAUGUCCUUCAAGGAAAUGGCAUUGCUUUGAAAAUCUGAGGGGGAAAACCAAACAAACCAGACAAGAAAUAUUACAUUUUUUAAGCCACUUAUUCAAGCUCUGAUGGGGCCUGAGACCAACUCGGCAGGGGCACUGUUUACAUUUCAGGCGGGGCACUCCUUCAUCGUGCCUGGCUGUACCCCCAUGACAAGUCCCUGCCCCUAAAACCCCAGCUGUGUCACCCACAUCUGUCACCCGGAACCACCCCUCACACCUCUCCGAACCUCCCCGGGUUGAGGAAUGCUCGCUGGGACUGAGCAGCAGCGUUGAGGGACAUUUGAAAUUGGCAACCCCCGGAUUCACGGAGCAAGUCUUUUCUGAGCACCUACCGUGUACCAGACCCUGUCCUUGGUGCCGAGGUCCAGCAGAGGAGCACGAGCCCCUCCUGGGUCGUCAGGAGCUAACACUCUAGUGGGGGAAAGGGGACCAUAAACAAGAAAGAAGACCAGGGUCAUUUCAGACGGUGGCAAAUGUGGCUGUGAGGAGGCGGAAGGGCUGUUACAGAGAGGUGUCCGAGAGGGGCUUUCUGAGGAGGUGAAGCCUGAAGGGUGACAAGGAACCAGCCUUGGGAAGAGGCAGAGUGAAAGGUUCUAGGUAGAGGCAACAGUGUGUGCAAAGGCCCUGAGGCAGGCGUUUGCAUGGACCGUUGAGGCACAGCAGGGAGGCCUGUGGCUGGAGCCAGGUGAGGGCGCAGGAGAGGAAAAGGAGACGAGUAGAAGAUGUGUCAGGGCUUUGCAUGUACUUGGGGGGCGGGGGGGGGGGUCAAGGGGUAUUUUGAGCAGAAGGGACACAGGUUAGGUUCUAACAGGAUCCCUUUAGAGGCAGUGGUCAGCUGAAUGAUGUCCCCCAAAGCUGCCCACAUCUUAAUCCCCCAAACCUGUGAAUGUUAACUUUCUUAGGCAAAAAGGAAGUUCACAGCUGUGACUUAGUUACGGAGCUUGAGGUGGGAGAUUGCCCUGGAUUAUCUGAGUGUGCUCAGUAGAAUCAGAGGAGUCCUUGUAAGAUGGAAGCUGG